rnacentral:lncRNA from 1 species
CUAUGCUUACUCCAUCUUACUUCUCUUAGGUCUUACAAUGGAAGUGCCCUAUUACAUUUUGUUCUUUUCUAUGAUUUCCAAUUAUUUUAUGAAAUUUUUCAUUUAUUUUUUCUGUUCUUUCUAUCUUUAAUUUCUAUGUAACUUUUUGAAAUAGAUCUCAAAGAUUUUAUAUAUAUAUAUAUAUAUAUAUAUACACACACACACAGAGAGAGAGAUAUAUAUCUACUGUACUAUUGAAGUAGAUUCCUAAAGUUUUUAUCUCUUCUAGAAUAUUGGUUUCACAACACCCCUAUUAUGUGUAUUUAAUUUUACCCACCACAUGGCGUUUUCAAAAAGUCUUUAUUUGGCGGAAUACAACUUCAGAAUCUGAUUCGAAGAGAAAAUUGCUCACAGCCGUGAGCCACUGUGCCUGGCCGAUUUUUACUAUUUAAAGAAGGAAGAAUUUUAGCAGCGUGGGGUGGCUCAUGCCUGUAAUCCCAGCACUUUGGGAGGCUGAGGUGGGCGGAUCACUUGAGGCCAGUAGUUCAAGAACAGCCUGGCCAACAUGACGAAACCCCAUCUCUACUAAAAAUACAAAAAUUAGCCAGGCGUGGUGGCACGUGCCUGUAGUCCCAGCUACUCGAAGGCUUAGGCAGGAGAAUCGCUUGAAUCAGAGACAGGGAGGCUGCAAUGAGCCGAGAUUGCACCACUGCACUCCAGCCUGGGCGACAGUGCAAGACUCCAUCUCAAAAAUAAAGAGGAAUUGGAGGAGGAAAUAAAUGAAUAAAUGACAAAGGUGACAAAGGACCAAAGAUCUGUGACUUGUGCAAAGAUUGCUCUGUGUUUGCUGCAGGUCUAGAAGAUGUCACAGAAUUUCAAGGAAGAGAGAGGCAGUUGCUGUGGGAGGUGUGGUAACUGCUGGAAGGAAGAUGCUCAAUUCUUCUGAGCAACGAAGGCCACACGGAGUCCUGGAUUCUGUGUGGCCUGGCAUCCAUGGCGCACUGUGUGCUGGCAGGUGGCUCAGGACGGGGCAGUUAUCAUGGGACACCCGCCAUAUGCUGGCAAGGAAGAUGGUCAGUUCUUCUGAGCCA